rnacentral:tRNA from 1 species
GGAGAGGUGGCUGAGUGGUCGAAAGCGGCACACUGCUAAUGUGUUAGUCCCCUUGCGGGGGCUCGAGGGUUCGAAUCCCUCCCUCUCCG